UAGAGCAAAUUUGGAACUAAUCUAAACAUUUUUUGGCUUUUAAGUUCAUGCCUGUUAGCGUGAGCUCAUCUACACUGUUAGACAUUUCUGUAAUUUCUACAGUUAUUUACCAUAUAUCACCCAGUAUAAUACUGCUAAUUUUCUUUACAGUACAUAACUGUGAUUCCCUUUGCAUCAUGGGAAUUUUCUGUGACGUCAAACACCACAUAGGCUACAGCGAUUUAGCCUACUGUAUUUUUUAAAUUUGCAGUAUACUACUGUAUUUGCUGUAACGGUCUCUCUGGCACCAUUCCGUCGUGUUUUUUAUUUUAUUUUAUUUUUUUUAUUAUCCUCUUUUUUGUACAUUUGGUUUGACAUGAUUUGCCUUACACCGCGCGUCUACAACGCCAACAGCCCACGGACACUGAAGCUACCGGACCUUUACAAAAUGCAAACCUGUUUGUCCCUUGUGUCAGGAAUAGCGCGAGCGCUUGGACUCGGAGUACCGUACAUAUAACGGGCCAUCAGUAACGUUAUACUGUCUGGGAUUUGUCGUGCCGCGCCGGAGCAUUCAGUGCAAACACUGAUUGUAAUGGGUUCUGUCUUGUGUUGGAUCGCGUUGUUCGCGUCCGGGGUAACUUAGAGACGGAACCAGCGCGGCAGCGCCAGAGUCUACGGCCGGUGUACCGAUGCACCCUGUGAAGACGUAUCCUGAGAGAGAGAGAGACCAGCGAGCAAGGUCUCAACUGCAACAAAGCGCCGGUGACUGCUAGCAAGAUUUCUGAGAAGAUGGACCAUUUUCUAUGUUCAGUCUCACCAGAUUACAUUUAGGCAGAAGACUCUCUACCAUUGCAGUCCCAACUGACCGAAGGUCCUAAUAUCAGCGCACAGCUUCCCCUUCACUGCAAACAGGCUGAAAUUGGCUAAAUCAUCGAUUGCAGUCUCUCUCUCUGGAUCUCAGCAUUUUUGGACAGAAUUUAGGAUAUUGUCAGAGCCGGGAUCUCCUCUGAAGGACUGAGUACAUUUGUGUUCGUGGACACGCAUACAGACCAGGAACAUUCUGAUGUUGUCAGUCAAGUUCUGAACUGGAACCAAUCUUUGGAGAAGUUCAUUUAUUUCCAAAGGUGAAAAAAAAACAGUGUGUUGUCUUUUAAAAAAAUGAAUUUAGAGGAGAACAUUGAUAAUAAUAAGAAAUGUUUCUUGAACAGUCUUCUUUCAAAAACAUUAAGACACUGAAAUACUUUUGGCCACCAGUGUACAUUAAUCAAAUUUUGGAAAUAGUGAAAUGAUUUUGAAAGUGGGGUUAUGUGUCAUGUUACCUAAUGAGAUUGAGAAAAGAAUUGUUUUGUCCUGUGUUGGACAUUUCAUUUUUGACUGCUUAAAAAUGUAUUUAUAUUUUGCGGUUUUAUGAAUGUAAUUGUUGAUAUUUAAUUAUAAUAUUUUUUUGACAAUAAGCUAAACAACCAUUGACUUUACAUCAUUUUAUGUUUUUUGUAGUGAAGGACAACACAACACAACACAACACAUAAUGUGUUCAUUUAACAAGUUUACACAUCUUUGUGCUAACCUUUUUGACACAUUUACUUUGUUAAAAACAAUAACAGCUUAAUGAGUUAAAAUUAACACAAAAUGUGUCCCUAAACUCUCCCAUUAAUGUGUAAAUAUUGUCAUUUUUAACACAUCCUUUCCAGCAUUGGCAGACUGU